CCCUCAUCCACACACUCGUGUGGUUGCCUGUCACUGGCAAGCUGGGCCCGCUCACUAGCCACCCACACCCGCACCCGCACGCGCCCCUCCAUUAUUGUCCCGUGACCUCACUAGUCAGCCCACGCCUCGUGGAUCUUACUCUUGCGUCGACCGACCCCGAGAACCUUGCCGCCAGUGAGAUCCCAGCUGGCCAAACACAGCCAACCUCCUAACCGACCUCUGGCAGCCAUAAAAGGUUGCGCCGAAGCCCUGCCUUCCCUUUUCCUUCGCCGCACACCAAUAGCCAUUGCCCAAAUCUGCGAGGGAGAGAUUGAAGACGCCGCCGUGUGAGAGCAAGGCGUCUAAGCGAGUCUCCCGGGUUCACCGACAAAUUCAUUUCGUUGAAGCAUCGCAGUGUGCCCUGUGGAUCCGUAAAAGCCAGCUCGGGGACCUUCUGAGGCCGGUGUCACCCCGCUCGCGGCAUAUUGCUCAUCAGAGCAAAUCUACGCUGUGAACCUGCCGCACCGAGAUUCAGCUCGGCCUUAUCACAACCUCAACUCUGACGAGCAAGUGACCGAGGAGCCCGGAGCACAGCAGGUUGAAGAUACUAAACAGGAGCUCGCUGAAGGUGAAGAGCAGGUGCCACCGGAGGAGGACUACUACGACAAGUUCGAUGAGGUCUAGGUGUCGUCUCCCAGUCAGCAUGAUGGCGCCAAGGGAUGAUAAUAUUAUUAUUUUGCUUUAUUUAUUAUCAGUUAUUUUUUAAGACAUUUUUGUUAUGUAAUAAAGUUGGUGACAUUUGUCUCUAUACACUGAGUCAUUAUAUGUGUUGAUCUUAAAUCUGGGUUUGCCCCUUAAAUCUGGGUGUGACAGUGCGCGAUGGCGGUGGACCCCGGGAUGCGUGCGACGGCGGCACCAUGCGUGGCGGCGACGACAAUUCCUUGAUCCAGAGGCACGACGGUGGUAGCUCUCCGAUCCGAAGGCAUGGCGAUACCGGCUCUCCGAUCUGGUGGUGCAGCGACUGUGGCUCGCAGAUCCGGUGGCGCGAUGUCGGUUCCUCGACCCGGAGGCACAACGACAGCGGCUCCCUAAUCCGAAGGCACGACACCGGUGGCUUCCCGGAGGUGGCUCCCCAGAGGCGUGUGCGGGGUUCACCAUCCGCACCACGGGCCCCGUGACAUCCUCCAAUCCUGCGCAUUUCGAGUAUCCUCCGGCGACAGUCUCCUCCAACCCGACGACUUUGGGGUAUCCUCCAGCGAUGGAGCUCAUCAGAUCCAUGUUUAUGCCUCCAUGGUUGCUUUUUAUGCCAACCACUGCAGUACUUUAGAUAUUCCAUUAGAUGAUUUUAUGAUGAUGAAUAUGGCGUCUCUAACUUGUAUUUUUAUGUUAAUAGCAUUUACACUAUAUUUGCCAUUAUUUUACGCUCAAACUUGAUGAUUUUUUCGAUCAUAAAUUCAACACAUUUGAGUU